rnacentral:rRNA from 1 species
AUUGAACGCUGGCGGCAGGCCUAACACAUGCAAGUCGAACGGUAACAGGAAGCAGCUUGCUGCUUCGCUGACGAGUGGCGGACGGGUGAGUAAUGUCUGGGAAACUGCCUGAUGGAGGGGGAUAACUACUGGAAACGGUAGCUAAUACCGCAUAACGUCGCAAGACCAAAGAGGGGGACCUUAGGGCCUCUUGCCAUCGGAUGUGCCCAGAUGGGAUUAGCUAGUAGGUGGGGUAACGGCUCACCUAGGCGACGAUCCCUAGCUGGUCUGAGAGGAUGACCAGCCACGCUGGAACUGAGACACGGUCCAGACUCCUACGGGAGGCAGCAGUGGGGAAUAUUGCACAAUGGGCGCAAGCCUGAUGCAGCCAUGCCGCGUGUAUGAAGAAGGCCUUCGGGUUGUAAAGUACUUUCAGCGGGGAGGAAGGGAGUAAAGUUAAUACCUUGGCUGAUUGACGUUACCCGCAGAAGAAGCACCGGCUAACUCCGUG